rnacentral:rRNA from 1 species
ACUCAAAUGAAUUGACGGGGGCCCGCACAAGCAGCGGAGCGUGUGGUUUAAUUCGAUGCAACGCGAAGAACCUUACCCAGGCUUGACAUACCGGUAGUAGGCCCCCGAAAGGGGAACGACUCGUCGAGUCGAGAGCCGGUACAGAUGCUGCAUGGCUGUCGUCAGCUCGUGCCGUGAGGUGUUGGGUUAAGUCCCGCAACGAGCGCAACCCUCGUCGCCAGUUGCCUUUUCUGGCGAGACCGCCGGGUGCAACCCGGAGGAAGGUGGGGAUGACGUCAAGUCAGCACGGCUCUUACGUCUGGGGCUACACACACGCUACAAUGGCCGGUACAAUGGGCUGCGAAGGGGCGACCCGGAGCCAAUCCCACCAAAGCCGGUCUCAGUGGGGAUCGGAGGCUGCAACUCGCCUCCGUGAACGCGGAGUUGCUAGUAACCGCAGGUCAGCACACUGCGGUGAAUACGUUCCCGGGCCUUGUACACACCGCCCGU